UAUACAGCGAAACUGCGAAUGGCUCAUUAUAUAAGUUAUCGUUUAUUUGAUAGUACCUUACUACUUGGAUAACCGUGGUAAUUCUAGAGCUAAUACAUGCUAAAAAUCCCGACUUCGGAAGGGAUGUAUUUAUUAGAUUAAAAACCAAUGCCCUUCGGGGCUCUCUGGUGAUUCAUGAUAACUUCUCGAAUCGCAUGGCCUUGCGCCGGCGAUGGUUCAUUCAAAUUUCUUCCCUAUCAACUUUCGAUGUUUGGGUAUUGGCCAAACAUGGUUGCAACGGGUAACGGAGGGUUAGGGCUCGACCCCGGAGAAGGAGCCUGAGAAACGGCUACUACAUCCAAGGAAGGCAGCAGGCGCGCAAAUUACCCAAUCCCGACUCGGGGAGGUAGUGACAAUAAAUACUGAUACAGGGCUCUUUAGGGUCUUGUAAUUGGAAUGAGUACAAUUUAAAUCCCUUAACGAGGAACAAUUGGAGGGCAAGUCUGGUGCCAGCAGCCGCGGUAAUUCCAGCUCCAAUAGCGUAUAUUAAAGUUGUUGUGGUUAAAAAGCUCGUAGUUGAACCUUAGAUCCGGCUGGCCGGUCCGCCUCACCGCGUGCACUGGUCCGGCCGGGUCUCUCCCUCUGUCGAACCCCAUGCCCUUCACUGGGUGUGGCGGGGAAACAGGACUUUUACUUUGAAAAAAUUAGAGUGCUCCAGGCAGGCCUAUGCUCGAAUACAUUAGCAUGGAAUAAUAAAAUAGGACGUGUGGUUCUAUUUUGUUGGUUUCUAGGACCGCCGUAAUGAUUAAUAGGGACAGUCGGGGGCAUCAGUAUUCAAUUGUCAGAGGUGAAAUUCUUGGAUUUAUUGAAGACUAACUACUGCGAAAGCAUUUGCCAAGGAUGUUUUCAUUAAUCAGGAACGAAAGUUAGGGGAUCGAAGACGAUCAGAUACCGUCGUAGUCUUAACCAUAAACUAUGCCGACUAGGGAUUGGACGAUGUUAUUUUUUGACUCGUUCAGCACCUUACGAGAAAUCAAAGUGC
rnacentral:rRNA from 1 species